ensembl:lincRNA
CAAAAAUACAAGCUGCGGCCACGUUCCAUCCAGCAACAGAAGAGCAAGCCAGCAAGAACGUUAUGGAGCACCCCAUCUGCCUUAUUCAUCAGACCUGUCGUUGUCUGACUUAUGGGUCUUCCGAAAAAUCAAAAUGACUAUCAAAGGUGUGUUCAAAGCUCUAUAGCACACAGCGACUAAGCUUGUCUGGAAGAGGUUAUGAAUCCUUCAUUGGGAAGUGACCUUGAAACUGGAUCACAUAGGAUUUCCAGAGGACAGAGGAGGAAAGAUUUCUACACUAAGAUAUCAGAUAUUCAAAAGCUCACAAGCAAGACACAAACAGCAGAACAACUUUUAUUGGAUGGAGCACAGACAACAUGGUCCCAUGGUAUAGAGAAAUGUGGAAGAACAAAGCAUGAGAAACCGGAUCUUCUGCACCGGGAUAAGAUAGAGUGAUGGAGUGAACCGGGCAUUAGUCUCCUGACAGACACUGUGUGAAAGAGUUAUUCUCAGUAGUGUGGGUCUUACGGAUGUAGAAUCAUAACUCAAAGCGACAGAAAAUCAAGAAGCACAAGUUGACACAGUAGUCCUGAGCACCAUCAUCACCAGUGACAUCUUAGAGCCGUGCUAUCCGCCAGCAGCUUUGGAACGAGUUGAGCGCAUGUCAGAAAUGCUGAAUCCCAGGCUUACCCAAGCCCUAAAAAGGGAAGCUAUUCUUUAAAGAUCUCCAAGUGAUUUGUAUGCUCGUGCAUUUAAAGUGUUCUAGCUUUGCAGUUUUCAUCUAUGGAAACUGACUCAUCUGUGGAGUGAUCUUCACAGUCUGCACCCAAGGGUCUUCAUGGGGGUGAACUUUCACCAGCAGCACCUCAGCGCUCCACUCCGUGCUUCCUGUGUGCCAGGGGAGCUGGGCACCUUCCUCACAGACCAUCCCCUGUGUUCUUCUCGCCCCGUCUACCGUCUGAGCGUGCCUGCCAGCCCUAUUGCCUGUCCUCAAUCUCUGCCAAUCAGAAAACAGCACUUAUUGUAAAACAGCACUAUGGCUCCCACCUCUCUUCUUCCUGCCCCUAAAAACAUGUGAUCUGUCAUCCUGAGAUGCCCGUAGCCAUCACUACCUUAUACAGUGUUCAUUGCGUUUGUGUUCCCGCGCUCUCUGGUUAUUUGGAUUUCAUCUCAUCUCCUAUCAGACUGAAGGUUUCCAGUAAUCAGAACUCUAGCUUACUCACCACGGGUAAGUACACACAAAAUAUUUUUGAAGUGAAACUGAUAUUUACUGGUAAAAGAGAUAAAUAAAAGGAGCACAUUUUAAACUGGCAAGAACUCCAAAAUAUACAGAUAUACAUUUUUCAAGUAAUAAAUUAUCUUUAAGUUGCCUUACAGGAAAUACCUCCAACACCUACCACCGUCAAAACCCAGUAUUAGAUACACACAUAGGAGCUGAUCCGGCCAGUCCCUGAUCUUUUGAUGUCACAAGCUCAAAAUCUCUCGAGUAGAGCAUGAACUCCUACAACAGAAUAUGCAGCCCACAAAGAGGCGUGAUGACUGUCCAUAUCUUGCGCAAAAAAACCUUAAAACUUCCCGUCUCAACCAUCCAAUCAAUAAGCACUUUCUCUCUGUCCUAUACCAGGAUUCCCCGUGACCAACUGAUCUGCAAGACAGAUUUCUCCUUGCCUCUGUAUCCUUGAUGAUCAGCCCUCAAUACAAAGCUCUUUUAUUUAUUCAUUUUUUUCAGUUCCAGAAACCCAGAGUCAUAGCAAUGGCCUUUAUGCAUUCUAGGCAGCAUGGAGUCCAAUAUCUGGGUUCUAACUCUAUCUCUGCCAAAAAUCUUAGUCAAGCCCUUCUGUUAUAUAUAUAAAGAGUCCCCCCAAGUUCUGAGAGUAUGUUAGUUGUGAUGAUUGUGGUCAGGUAUGAAACAUCUCUCAGGACUAUAAAUUUAAAGCUAUAACUGAACUCCAUUCUACAACUAUCCUCCUUAAAAGUAUACAAAAAAGUGUAGAAGAUAAAAUCAAAACUUAUAAACCAAAUUUCAUAGUUACUAGAUUAUAUCAAUUUAUUCUUCAAGGAAGAAGAACUAAUAUUGAAAUCAAGGCUUAAAUGAUCUUUUAUUAAUGUAAAAGUCUCACUUUUAAAAAAGACUUUUUAAAAAGCGUAUGAGGUUGUGGUAUUGUGAAAUAAUAUUUGCUCUCUGUCCUUAUUUCUUGGUAUAGAACUCCUAAAAUCUUUGGACUCCCCGAAGCGCUCUUACUCUGCUGGUGAGACGGCUGCCAGCUGCUAGGUAGCUUCAGAAAGGGUCUGGGCACAGGAAAGACCAAGGCAAGAGAAGAUUCGAACUAUCAGCCCCACCCUCAACUUCCAGGGAGGGAAGAGAGGAAAGAAUAAGUUGAUCAGCAACAGCCAGUGACUUCAUCAACGCGUCAGUGAAAUGAAGCCUCCUCGAAAACCCUGAAGCAUAGGAUUCAGAGAAUCCCUAGGCUGUGUAACGGGACACCCCUAGAGGGACCUCUCCUGGAGAAGGCAUCGAAGCCCCGUACUGCUUCUCCUGUCCUUUGGCCUGUCUUACUCUCUAUCCAGAGUUCAUCAGUGUCCUUUGUAACGGCCUUUAUAAUAAACUGGCAGACAUGCUCCCCUAAGUCCUGAGAGUCACUGUAGCAAAUGAAUCCCAUGGGAGGAGCGGGCUGUGUGCGCCCUGAUGUAUAGCCAGUUGUCAGAAGCACAACUCACAACCUGGAACUUGCAGAUAGCACUGAAGAAAGCAGUCUUAGGAACGGAGCUCUCAAACUGUGGGGUCAGAUGAAGCAUGCUGUUGAGAGACAGCAGAGAAGAAACGGACUUUGGGUCUGAUUUUUCCUGCAUCUUCAGAAAGGUACUUAUAACAAAAGACUUCUCAUAAAGGACAUGAACUAAAGAAAAAUAAGAAUUGGAAUGCAAUAUGAGAGCAAGAAGCUCAACAGCGCACUGAAAUUGUACUAAGCAAGUUGCCUGCUUUUUCUCUAAUCCCCAAGCAGACAAUGGAGAUCCUAAAGUCAUUCUGUGAUAAGCUUUAACAUCCACCAUAGAAAGAGCCUUUCCCAGCUAAGUAAUUCAUAAACUUUACAAGAAAAAUACAAAGGAAGUGCUGGGAAAGGUGGCUAUUUCUGAGGUCUUCGUAGAAAGAACAAGGUUAUGAAAGGAUAGAAUAAUGGAUUUCUUGUGGGUAUUUUUUAUAAAACCCUCAUGGUCUGGUGACGUUAGAGUUUUGUAUUUUAAUAAAUUCAAUCAUACAAGAGCCAACAUGGUAGAGAUAGCAAGCUCUCUAAAGAUGCAAUACGGCUGAUGGGUAUAUUUUAGAAUAUCUAGCACAUAAGAUGGGCUGUGUCAUUCCAACAAUGAAGAUUUAAUGACUGCUAGUGACAGAAAGCUAGCAAUAUUCUUCCAGAAAGUACUUGGAGGAUGCUUAUUUAGUGCUGACAGUUGAGUAGGAAUUGUAUGUUAUAAGAGACAGUGGAGCUGGAAUUGGGGUGAGUCACUCUUAGUGAAAGCCAAAGAGUUAAGACACUGUGAUUUGCUUAUAUAAA